rnacentral:rRNA from 1 species
CAGUCGCCACGGUAAUACGAAGGGGGCUAGCGUUGUUCGGAUUUACUGGGCGUAAGGGCGCGUAGGCGGAUUUGUAAGUCAGGGGUGAAAUCCCGAGGCUCAACCUCGGAACUGCCUUUGAUACUGUGGAUCUUGAGUCCGGGAGAGGUGAGUGGAACUGCGAGUGUAGAGGUGAAAUUCGUAGAUAUUCGCAAGAACACCAGUGGCGAAGGCGGCUCACUGGCCCGGAACUGACGCUGAGGCGCGAAAGCGUGGGGAGCAAACAGGAUUAGAUACCCCCGUAGUCCCUGUCUCUUAUACA